rnacentral:rRNA from 1 species
AGAGUUUGAUCCUGGCUCAGGAUGAACGCUAGCUACAGGCUUAACACAUGCAAGUCGAGCGGAAUGGCUUCGGCCAUUUAGCGGCAGACGGGUGAGUAACACGUAUCCAACCUUUCCCUUACUCGGGUAUAGCCUCGGGAAACUGAGAGUAAUCCCCGAUGUUGUGUACGAAUAGCAUUUUUUGCACACUAAAGAUUAAUCGGUAAGGGGUGGGGAUGCGUUCCAUUAGGUAGUAGGCGGGGCAACGGCCCACCUAGCCGAUGAUGGAUAGGGGUUCUGAGAGGAAGGUCCCCCACAUUGGAACUGCGACACGGUCCA